GUCAAGGGAUUCACAGAACAGGGCCUCUGACCUAACUUCAGGGGUCAACGGAGGCUUCCCCCAGGACAGUUGAGAACUCUGAAGGGGGAGCAGGAGUAGACACCUAGAGCGGCUUGGGUGGAGGGUGAGCAUGCACAGAUUCUAGCAGAGCAGACGGUCCUCCCCAACACGGGCAGGCAUCAGCCAAGAAGUCAAGGGCCUGAAUAGAAUAAAAAGGCGGAGGAAGGUUGAAUUCACUCCUCGACUGAUUGCUGAGCGGAAACGUUGAUCUCCUGCCCUGGGUGAUCCUGAUUCAUAGAACCUCAGAUCCAGACUGGAAUCUACACCCUCGGCUCUCUGGCUGUCAAGGCUUCCAGCAUCUUCCCUGGAUCUCCAGCGUGCAGACAGCAGACUGUGGGACUUCUCAGCCUCCAUAAUCACGUUCUGCCACACGUCGAGAAAGAAAGUGAGAAAUUUGAGAGCACGAAAGUUAAAAGGGCUUCUCAAUAAUUAGCUUAACAGGAAUUUUCACAGACUUCAUCUGCUGAAUCUUCAAACAGUCUGACCAGGUUGUCAUUAACCCCAUUUUACAGAUGAAGAAACUGAG
rnacentral:lncRNA from 1 species